rnacentral:rRNA from 1 species
GUCCGCGCAGUAAACGAUGGACACUUGCCGUCCGGGGCGUUCCCUUGGGUGGCGUAGCGAAAGCGUUAAGUGUCCCGCCUGGGGAGUACGCCGGCAACGGUGAAACUCAAAGGAAUUGACGGGGCCCGCACAAGCGGAGGAACAUGUGGUUUAAUUCGAUGAUACGCGAGGAACCUUACCCGGGCUCGAACGCCGGAGCUCAGGCCCUGAAAGGGGCCGCCCCGCGAGGGGGAUCCGGCGAGGUGCUGCAUGGUUGUCGU